GACGAACGCUGGCGGCGUGCUUAAUACAUGCAAGUCAACUUGCUUCAAGGUAGUAAUAUCUUGAGGAAGGUGGCGCACGGGUGAGUAACACGUAGGUAAUCUGCCUUUAGGUCUGACAUAAUUCCGCGAAAGCGGGACUAAUAUCAGAUGAUGCAGCGGCUCGACAUCGAGACAGUUGUUAAACCUUCGGGGCCUAAAGAUGAGCCUGCGCCUGAUUAGGAGUUGGCGGAGUAAAAGCCCACCAAGCCUACGAUCAGUAGCUGGUCUGAGAGGAUGAUCAGCCACACUGGAACUGAGACACGGUCCAGACUCCUACGGGAGGCAGCAGUAAGGAAUAUUGCUCAAAUGG
rnacentral:rRNA from 1 species